AGAGUUUGAUCAUGGCUCAGGAUGAACGCUGGCGGUAUGCUUAACACAUGCAAGUCGAACGGGGGUAGAAAUACCCUAGUGGCGGACGGGUGAGUAACGUGUGAGAAUCUACCAACAGGAUGGGGAUAACAGAGGGAAACCGCUGCUAAUACCCAAUGUGCCGAGAGGUGAAAGAUUAAUUACCUGUUGAGGAGCUCGCGUCCGAUUAGCUAGUUGGUGGGGUAAGAGCCUACCAAGGCAUCGAUCGGUAGCUGGUCUGAGAGGACGAUCAGCCACACUGGGACUGAGAUACGGGCCAGACUCCUACGGGAGGCAGCAGUAGGGAAUAUUGGGCAAUGGCGGAAACGCUGACCCAGCCAUGCCGCGUGCAGGAAGAAGGCGCUCAGCGUUGUAAACUGCUUUUGCCGGGGAAGAAUGCGCUCUACGCGUAGAGUAAGUGACGGUACCUGGUGAAUAAGCACCGGCUAACUCCGUGCCAGCAGCCGCGGUAAUACGGAGGGUGCAAGCGUUGUCCGGAUUUAUUGGGUUUAAAGGGUGCGUAGGUGGCUUUUUAAGUCUGGGGUGAAAGGCAGUGGCUCAACCACUUGCAGUGCCCUGGAUACUGGAAGGCUCGAGUGCGCGUGAGGCCGGUGGAACGGGUGGUGUAGCGGUGAAAUGCAUAGAUACCAUCCAGAACACCGAUUGCGGAGGCAGCCGGCUAACGCGCAACUGACACUGAGGCACGAAAGCGUGGGGAGCAAACAGGAUUAGAUACCCCGGUAGUCC
rnacentral:rRNA from 1 species